rnacentral:tRNA from 1 species
AAUGAAUUGCCCGAUAAAAGGAUUACCUUGAUAGGGUAAAUAAUGUAAUAAAAUUACAUUCAUUA